UUCUACUUCACAUCACUGGGCCUUACUGUCUGGCUACUGGAUGGAGUGGAGAGGGAGAGGGAGUCAAAGAGGGUCAUUUAAGGUCUUUAUCAAUCUAUCUCUCUUUUAUAGAGGAGAGGAAUGGAGUAAUAUUGUGAAGCAGGACAAGCCAGCAGCAAGGACCUGAGCCCUAGGACCAUGCCUCAGGACUACCUGGCCUGACGACUCCUGGUUGUCCCCAUCCCCAAUCCAUCUGGUCGUGCUGCAGUUUUGCCUGUGGCUAUGGAUCCCUGACCUGUUCACUAGACGUGCUACCUUGUCAUGCUGCUGCUCAAGUUUCAACUGUUCUGCCUGUGGCUAUGGAACCCUGACGUGUUCACCGGACGUGCUACCUGUCCCAGACCUGGUGUUUUCGACCUUCCCUCUCCCUCUCUCUCUCUCUCUCUCUCCCACCCACUCUACUGCACCUGCUGUCUUGACCUCUGAGUGCUCGACUAUGAAAAGCGAACUGACAUUUACUCCUGAGGUGCUGACCUGUUGCACCCUCUACAACCACUGUGAUUAUUAUUUGACCCUGCUGGUCAUCUAUGAAUGUUUGAACAUCUUGAAGAACGAUCUGUCCUUAAUGGCCAUGUACUCUCAAUCUCCACCUGGCACAGCCAGAAGAGGACUGGCCACCCCUUCAUAGGUUCCUGCCUUUCUAGGGAGUUUUUCCUAGCCACUGUACAUCUACAUCUGCAUCUGUAUUGCUUGAUGAUUGGGGUUUUAUGUUGGGCUUCUGUAUAAGCACUUUGUGAGAUCUGCUGAUGUAAAUACAUUUGAUUUGAUUUAAUCUCAAAUGGCACCCUAUUCCCUUCAUCACAACUGUUGACCAGGGCUCUGGUCGCUGUACUAAACAAACACACAUACAAAUAAACAGACCACUAAACUCCCCUAAGUAGUACGAGUAAACCCCUCCAAAUCCACCCUGAGCCAGUGGAGGAUGUAAAGAACAGAUGGACCUUUACUGGGGGGAGGGGCUGGUCCAACUCAAGGUGUUAUAAAAAAAUGCAUCCCCCUCCCCAAAGUUGCAAAUAUUUUCACAUGACUCUCCCGUUGUACUGUAAAAUAAAUUGAACAACCUCCCCCUCACAGAAUGAACUCUAAAUAAUGUUUACAACCACAAAUAACAAUAACUGUAGCGACCCUGUUUUUAUAAACAUGGAUAUUGACUGUGCCACUUCAGCAUGCUUUUGUGGCACAGUUGAUGCCACACAUCAUGGGCUAGAAGGUUGAGGGUUUGCCGACCACCACAGGCGAGCUCACUCUCCUUGACUGUGUCAUUACGCUACGAUCAGAGAUUUUCCACCAACAGGUUUCUGUGCCGAUGCACCACACAACCAAUAAACAAAGCACACUGACUUUGGGUACUUUAAUAUCAUGGUUUGAGUUUUCAACAGAACAAUAAAUAGACGAUGUCAAUCUCAACAAACAGAAAAUACAUCCCUCCCUACCUUGUAGGUUCACCCAGUAUCCAAAUGUCAUUCACAUUUUUGGUGUUUUGGAACUGAAGUCUCUUUCCAUUCAUCAAUUUAAAAAAGACAUUCACAAUGAUUAUUUAAAGUGACCAAGAUUGCACAAUAAAGUCGGGGAAUUAUUUCCAUUUUGGUUCCAAUUUUUUGGGGACAUAAAUACAUAUACAAUUACAUAGAUACAGACACAUUGCAGAGAUUGAGACGGAAAAAAAAAUGCUCAUCAUCCAGAUGAGUAUGAGGGGGGAGUUUAAGUACAAUUCUUACAAGCUUGUUUUGGCUGGUCUGUAGCUUAUUCUAUGGAUGUUUGGGGCUGCUGGUGAACCAUGAUGUGCAGCAUAAUCAAAGAGACACGAGUCUAGCGCACUUGCCAGAGUCUUUAGGUGGUCUAGCUAGGUUUCAAUCCAAUUGGCGACACAUUUUCAUGUGAAUAUUCAAAAAUCUUCAUAAAAACAAUAGGCCAUUUUAGAGUUUCCUUUAGGAAAAUGUGGACAACAUGCCAGGGAAGAUUCUAAUUUACCAGGCAUUUGAGACAUUUAAUGGACAUCCAUAUGCAUUCAGAUCCAACUAGGCACCAUCAAAAAUCGAGGGAUGUUGGCCAAAUCAGCCAUAUUUACGUGUCCUUAAAAACAGUCUAUAACAAAUGACAUAAACACUAUCCCUUGUGUUUCUAUGUGUAGAAUACGCAAAACGUUAUUGGCCAUUUCUUUGUAGAUUUUUUGGCUACUUUCCUAAAACUAUAAUUGUCCAACUCACAGUUCAGCUGUCAGAGAUUUGAGCACUAAAUGUAUCAGGGCACUGCAUGCAAAGGCCUUAAGGCUUACAGUUGGUGUCCACUGUGUGAUAUGAACAUUUUAAUAAAUAUAUAUAGCCUAUAUAAAGGAAGAGAAGCUUCAGCCUAACCCCAGAGAGAGAGAUAUCUUGGAACGGUGGCUUGGUACAACACAGACAAGCAUUUAUUUAUGUCAGAUGGCUACUGCGUCUGCUGUACAGAUAUAGAUGUAAGGAGGGUAAUUCAUACAUUUUCCAUCAAAAUAUUUUGUAUGAAGAUAAACAUUAUAUUGUUAGAUUAUAGGAGUAACUCUGGUAGGCCUGAAACAGUCUUCCUCACCUCAAUUUCAAUUGUCAGAAUCAGUUGGAGCACGGGGCACUCUGCCUUCAUAUCAUAGGCCUGCAGUAGCUACCAAACCUUCACAAACGUUUCCAAACUUUAUUAGGCUAAUAUCGAAAGUAAGUCAAGCCAUAGUUCAUAGUGAAAAUACAAGCAGAAGAGCGGAUGUAAACAAGUGUCACGCCCUGACCUUAGUAUUCUUUGUUUUCUUUAUUAUUUUGGUUAGGUCAGGGUGUGACAUGGGUGAUAUGUGUGUUUUUGUCUUAUUCUAGGGUGUUUGUACUGUCUAGGGUUUUUUGUAGAUUUAUGGGGUUGUUUUCAUCUAGGUGUUUAUGUUGGUCUAUGGUUGCCUAGAUUGGUUCUCAAUUAGAGGCAGGUGUUUAUCGUUGUCUCUGAUUGGGAACCAUAUUUAGGCAGUCAUCUUCUUUGGGUAUUUCGUGGGUUAUUGUCUAUGUUAUGUUGCACGUUAGCACAUUGUUUAUAUAGCGGUCACGUUCGUCUUAUUCGUUUUUGUUGUUUUUGUUUAAGUGUUCUUCGUGUUCUUCAUUAAUAAAGAAUGUAUUCUAACCAUG
ensembl:lncRNA